rnacentral:rRNA from 1 species
CUUAACACAUGCAAGUCGAGGGGCAUCAGGAAGAAAGCUUGCUUUCUUUGCUGGCGACCGGCGCACGGGUGAGUAACACGUAUCCAACCUGCCCUUUACUCGGGGAUAGCCUUUCGAAAGAAAGAUUAAUACCCGAUAGUAUAAUCAUUCCGCAUGGUUUGAUUAUUAAAGGAUUCCGGUAAAGGAUGGGGAUGCGUUCCAUUAGGUUGUUGGUGAGGUAACGGCCCACCAAGCCUUCGAUGGAUAGGGGUUCUGAGAGGAAGGUCCCCCACAUUGGAACUGAGACACGGUCCAAACUCCUACGGGAGGCAGCAGUGAGGAAUAUUGGUCAAUGGGCGCGAGCCUGAACCAGCCAAGUAGCGUGAAGGAUGACUGCCCUAUGGGUUGUAAACUUCUUUUAUAUUAGAAUAAAGUGCAGUAUGUAUACUGUUUUGUAUGUAUAAUAUGAAUAAGGAUCGGCUAACUCCGUGCCAGCAGCCGCGGUAAUACGGAGGAUCCGAGCGUUAUCCGGAUUUAUUGGGUUUAAAGGGAGCGUAGGUGGACUGGUAAGUCAGUUGUGAAAGUUUGCGGCUCAACCGUAAAAUUGCAGUUGAUACUGUCAGUCUUGAGUACAGUAGAGGUGGGCGGAAUUCGUGGUGUAGCGGUGAAAUGCUUAGAUAUCACGAAGAACUCCGAUUGUGAAGGCAGCUCACUGGACUGCAACUGACACUGAUGCUCGAAAGUGUGGGUAUCAAACAGGAUUAGAUACCCUGGUAGUCCACACAGUAAACGAUGAAUACUCGCUGUUUGCGAUAUACAGUAAGCGGCCAAGCGAAAGCAUUAAGUAUUCCACCUGGGGAGUACGCCGGCAACGGUGAAACUCAAAGGAAUUGACGGGGGCCCGCACAAGCGGAGGAACAUGUGGUUUAAUUCGAUGAUACGCGAGGAACCUUACCCGGGCUUAAAUUGCAGUGGAAUGAUGUGGAAACAUGUCAGUGAGCAAUCACCGCUGUGAAGGUGCUGCAUGGUUGUCGUCAGCUCGUGCCGUGAGGUGUCGGCUUAAGUGCCAUAACGAGCGCAACCCUUAUCUUCAGUUACUAACAGGUCAUGCUGAGGACUCUGGAGAGACUGCCGUCGUAAGAUGUGAGGAAGGUGGGGAUGACGUCAAAUCAGCACGGCCCUUACGUCCGGGGCUACACACGUGUUACAAUGGGGGGUACAGAAGGCAGCUACCUGGUGACAGGAUGCUAAUCCCAAAAGCCUCUCUCAGUUCGGAUCGAAGUCUGCAACCCGACUUCGUGAAGCUGGAUUCGCUAGUAAUCGCGCAUCAGCCACGGCGCGGUGAAUACGUUCCCGGGCCUUGUACACACCGCCCGUCAAGCCAUGGGAGCCGGGGGUACCUGAAGUACGUAACCGCAAGGAGCGUCCUAGGGUAAAACUGGUGACUGGGGCUAAGUCA